UNGCCAGGGUCUACUGUGCGCCUGAGA
rnacentral:piRNA from 1 species